AUACUUACCUGAUGUCGAGGUUAAGCUGAUCUGACAGGGUCUUCCUCCGGGCCGAGUCUCUCCAUUGCACACCGGUUAGAUGAAACCUGCAGUUAGGACAAAUCGUCCUACUCUGGGCAUAUAAUUUAUGGUAGCGGGUGCUGCGGAAACGCGGCACCUU
rnacentral:snRNA from 1 species